rnacentral:lncRNA from 1 species
AUGAGGCUAAUUUUUUCUUUAAAAGACCAUUCUCAAGACAGUUUAGGUGGCUCAGUGGAUAGAGAGUCAGGCCUAAAGAUGGGAGGUCCUGAGUUCAAAUUUGACCUCAGACACUGCCUAGCUGUGUGAUUCUGGGCAAGCCACCGAAUCCCAAUUCCCUAGCCUUUGAGGCUCUUCUGCCUUGGAACCAAUACUCAAUAUCAGUUCUAAGACAGGUGGCAAGGGUUUAAAAAAAUUUUUUUUUUAAAUAAGUAACUUGUCCAGGUUACAUAUCCAGUAAGUAUCCAAGGUCACAUUUGAACUUCAGUCUUCCUGACACCAGGUCCAGAGCUCUCUCCUUUUAUCGUAACACCCAGGUGCCUCAGCAAUUCAACCUAUUAUUUAGUACAUAUAAUUUAGUACAAUAAUGUUAUAUCCACUAUCAACAACUACUCCAGAAUCUUUGUAAAGAAAACAUGGCCAUGGGGUCAAGAAGAACUGAAAACAAUCAAACUAUAUCGUCUAGAUUGUAUUUAUUAAAAUAUAAUUCUAUCUCUGUCCUUAAUUAGCUGUGUGGUCUUAGACCAGUCAUUUAACCUGAUUUAGCCUCAGUUUUCUCAUCUAUUAAUUGUAUUAAUUAAAAGGUGAAUGAAAUUAAUCUACCAGAGGCUAUAUAUGGAAUGAGAAAGGAAUUAGGGAUGGAACCUAUAUUGAACUUUAUUAACUUUUUUUUUUAUUUUUACUAAAAAAAAAAAAACCUCUUGCCUUCUGUCCUUAAAUCAAUACUAAAUAUCGAUUCUAAGGCAGAAGAGCUAGGCAAUUGGUGUUUGAUGACUUACCCAGAGUCACACAGCUAGGAAGUAUCUGAAGCCAUAUUUGAACCUACAACCUCCUGUUUCCAGGUCUGGCUCUCUAUCCACUGAGCACCCCAGCUGUCCUUGGACUAUUUAAUAUUUAAGAAUUCUUCUUCUAGCUUAUAAGACAACAAAGUCUAUUUAUGCCUCCACAUUAAAUAUUAAAUUGUUAAAUAUCAUUUUCUUGGUGAAUUAAAGGUCAGUUGGUAGAAAUCCAAUCACAAAAUCAUGUUUUCAAACUGAAAAAUUAGUUUGUUGGAAUGUAGAAGAGGUUGAUAUUGACUUUUGUGCCAGCA